UUAACGAUUAACGUGUAACAUCAAAACAUACCUAGCUCUGUGUGUGUCAAAACUGUAAUGACUCUUACCAGGCGCGCAGUGCAGGCUGCACUGCCUGCUUCUUCUUAUCCUUUUGACCUGAAGGACUUAAAAUUACUACAAAAGUAAUGUACCUAUCUAUGGAAUGGAACUACAGAAGUACACUGAAGGAAGGCCUCCACAGCAAGGUGAUAAAUCUUUGACUUUGACAUUUGCAAGUAGUCCUAAUAGCCACUGCAUCCUGAAUUGUAAUUAUGAGCCACCAAUAACAAAAAAGACGUCUGUGACAUGGAUCCCUAAUGUUCUCUCAGAUGGUGACGAAUAAAGAAAGAAGAACCCAGGAGUAUAAAAAAAUACUUACAUACAUACCUACCAUUGUGGUGCUGUACAUACAUACAUAGUCACACCACCAUAACAGGAUGGACUGAGCCGAGCACUACCAAGAAGACCAACUGCAGCCUCUUGUGAUGGACAUAAUGACCAGAGUGGUGACAGAUAAGCAACCCAUCACAAAUAUAAAUAUUUCUUUUUU